AACGAACGCUGGCGGCAUGCCUAACACAUGCAAGUCGAACGAGACCUUCGGGUCUAGUGGCGCACGGGUGCGUAACGCGUGGGAAUCUGCCCUUGGUUCGGAAUAACAGUUAGAAAUGACUGCUAAUACCGGAUAAUGUCUUCGGACCAAAGAUUUAUCGCCCAGGGAUGAGCCCGCGUAGGAUUAGCUAGUUGGUGAGGUAAAGGCUCACCAAGGCGACGAUCCUUAGCUGGUCUGAGAGGAUGAUCAGCCACACUGGGACUGAGACACGGCCCAGACUCCUACGGGAGGCAGCAGUGGGGAAUAUUGGACAUGGCGAAAGCCUGAUCCAGC
rnacentral:rRNA from 1 species